AACAGCAAAAAUUUCCUUAAAAUUACCAAUUCAGGGGCAGCAACCCAACAUCAGGUUGUCCGAUUCAUCUGAAAAUUUCAGGGCAGAUAGAUCUUGACCUAUAAACAAUUUUACCCCCAUGUCAGAUUUGCUCUAAAUGCUUUAGUUUUUUGAGUUAUAAGCCAAAAACUGCAUUUUACCCCUAUGUUCUAUUUUUAGCCGUGGUGGCCAUCUUGGUUGGUUGGACGGGUCACCGGACACAUUUUUUAAACUA
rnacentral:lncRNA from 1 species